GAGUGGAGUCAAAAGGUUGGCUUGUUGCUAAUAGGCAUUAUUCUUCAUCGGUAUCGAGGCAAGAACGUUAAAACUGGAGCAAAGUCGUUCGUCGUAAUCAUUAUUUCAGUCAACGUACUGUUACAAGUGAUUCGCUGAGCUUUGGAAUGUUAAUUAGUUGCAGAUACGAGGCUUGAAAAAACAAUCGCGAUGGCUGACUGCAAGCAAACGACAUAUAAAAAGACGUCUGAGAAAGACAUGCCUAGCUUGGUCAGAGCUUUUCAAAAGUUAAGCCCUACGAAACGUCAAUACUCCAAGCUGUCUAAAUCGGAUUCGACGUCGUCAAUGUCAUCGGGAAGUAGCUUCGUUUCCAACUCUUCCACAUCGAUGACCCCGCUGCAGAAAUCAUCAUCGAGUUUUUCGAAAUGUCUGGGAUGAAGGACAAGAAGAUGAAAAAAGAGAAGGAGCUUCUACAAAAGUUGGAGAAAAACGUCAAGGAUA